UCAAGAUGAUGAGGAUAAUCAGUUCUGCUACUGACGUAUCUUAGAAACGUACGACAUGAGGACUACUGAAAAUACCAAAAACCUUCUGAUUU
rnacentral:snoRNA from 1 species